CAGAGAAAGUGGAACCUUAUCACUUGGUCAAUGUACUCAGUGGCCUCCUAAUAUAGGAAGUGUUCAGCAGCUGUCACCUGACCCGGAAGAGAGGCUGCUCUCACGUCACCGCCCUGACAGAUGAGAGAACUUUUAGUAUGUCUCCACUGUACCACUGCCUUCCCACCAGUUAAGCUGCUUCCCAUGUGCAGGAACCAACUGGACCUACCAGAGCCACCUUGGAGCAGGAGCAUCUCGGAAACGAACCAUCAAUGGGGUGACCAUUAUACAGAGACGCUGGCUCUCUGGCUCCAUGAAGCUGCCCGCCAGUCCUAACUGCCUGAAGCUACUUCAAUCACCAAGGAAGGAAGACAUUUCCUCUUUGCUUAAGGCGCUGUGGCUUAGGUCUCUGUCACGUGUUGCCAAACAUAAUUCUAAUUAAUAGAACAUCAGGACCUGAUGGCUCGAA